rnacentral:tRNA from 1 species
GCCGGCGUAGCUCAAUGGUAGAGCACCUGUUUUGUAAACAGGCGGUUACAGGUUCGAUUCCAGUCGCCGGCUCCA